rnacentral:rRNA from 1 species
GCAUGCAAGUCGAACGGUAACGGGCCUUCGGGUGCCGACGAGUGGCGAACGGGUGAGUAAUGUAUCGGAACGUACCUUUCAGUGGGGGAUAACGUAGCGAAAGUUACGCUAAUACCGCAUAUUCUGUGAGCAGGAAAGCAGGGGAUCGCAAGACCUUGCGCUGAUUGAGCGGCCGAUAUCAGAUUAGCUAGUUGGUGAGGUAAAGGCUCACCAAGGCGACGAUCUGUAGCGGGUCUGAGAGGAUGAUCCGCCACACUGGAACUGAGACACGGUCCAGACUCCUACGGGAGGCAGCAGUGGGGAAUUUUGGACAAUGGGGGCAACCCUGAUCAGCCAUGCCGCGUGAGUGAAGAAGGCCUUCGGGUUGUAAAGCUCUUUCGGCCGGGAAGAAAUCGUAUGGUGUUAAUACCCUGUGCGGAUGACGGUACCGGCAUAAGAAGCACCGGCUAACUACGUGCCAGCAGCCGCGGUAAUACGUAGGGUGCGAGCGUUAAUCGGAAUUACUGGGCGUAAAGCGUGCGCAGGCGGUUUUGUAAGACAGGCGUGAAAUCCCCGGGCUCAACCUGGGAACUGCGCUUGUGACUGCAAGGCUAGAGUACGGCAGAGGGGGGUGGAAUUCCACGUGUAGCAGUGAAUGCGUAGAGAUGUGGAGGAACACCAAUGGCGAAGGCAGCCCCCUGGGUCGAUACUGACGCUCAUGCACGAAAGCGUGGGUAGCAAACAGGAUUAGAUACCCUGGCUAGUCCACGCCCUAAACGAUGUCAACUAGUGUUGGGUGGGUAAAACCAUUUAGUACCGGAGCUAACGCGUGAAGUUGACCGCCUGGGGAGUACGCCGCACGUUAAACUCAAAGGAAUUGACGGGACCCGCACAAGCGGUGAUGAUGUGAUUAUUCGAUGCAACGCGAAAAACUUACCUACCUUGACA